GGCUCAGGACGAACGCGGGCGGCGUGCUUAACACAUGCAAGUCGAACGGUGAAGCCCUUCGGGGUGGAUCAGUGGCGAACGGGUGAGUAACACGUGGGCAAUCUGCCCUGCACUCUGGGACAACACCGGGAAACCGGUGCUAAUACCGGAUACGACACGUCCCCGCAUGGGGGUGUGUGGAAAGCUCCGGCGGUGCAGGAUGAGCCCGCGGCCUAUCAGCUUGUUGGUGGGGUGACGGCCUACCAAGGCGACGACGGGUAGCCGGCCUGAGAGGGCGACCGGCCACACUGGGACUGAGACACGGCCCAGACUCCUACGGGAGGCAGCAGUGGGGAAUAUUGCACAAUGGGCGCAAGCCUGAUGCAGCGACGCCGCGUGAGGGAUGACGGCCUUCGGGUUGUAAACCUCUUUCAGCAGGGAAGAAGCGCAAGUGACGGUACCUGCAGAAGAAGCACCGGCUAACUACGUGCCAGCAGCCGCGGUAAUACGUAGGGUGCGAGCGUUGUCCGGAAUUAUUGGGCGUAAAGAGCUCGUAGGCGGCCUGUCGCGUCGGAUGUGAAAGCCCGGGGCUUAACCCCGGGUCUGCAUUCGAUACGGGCAGGCUAGAGUUCGGUAGGGGAGAUCGGAAUUCCUGGUGUAGCGGUGAAAUGCGCAGAUAUCAGGAGGAACACCGGUGGCGAAGGCGGAUCUCUGGGCCGAUACUGACGCUGAGGAGCGAAAGCGUGGGGAGCGAACAGGAUUAGAUACCCUGGUAGUCCACGCCGUAAACGUUGGGAACUAGGUGUGGGCGACAUUCCACGUCGUCCGUGCCGCAGCUAACGCAUUAAGUUCCCCGCCUGGGGAGUACG
rnacentral:rRNA from 1 species